CAUCUUUUAUUUUAUAUUUUUGGGGACAAGAUCCUCAAAUUAAUUCUACUUCUUUUGUUCAAAAUUAGGGUUUAGAAGAAAAGGCCGUUGAUUUUGAAUAGGAAAACAAAUUCGAGCGUGGGAAUCACCGCAUACUCUUUGCAUUCAAUCGAUUAGUAUAUCUGUUGCAGCCAUGACUGAGUUUUGGGUUAGUCAAGGAAAUAAAUGGUGUGAUUUCUGCAAAAUCUUCAUAUCGAAUAAUCCUACGAGCAUUAGGAACCAUGAACUCGGUACGCGUCACAAGGAAGCUGUGGGCAAUAGGCUCAACACAAUGCGAGAAGAUAAAGCUAAAAAAGAGAAAGAGUUAAAACAAGCAGCCCACGCGCUGGAGCAAAUUGAAGCAAAAGCACAACGCAGCUAUCAGAAGGAUAUGGCUCGAGUUAAAGAGGCCAGAAGUACCAAUAUACAGGCAAUGGCUACUCAUGAUAAUGGUCAAGCGACUACCAAGGGAUCUGCUGUAUCAGAAGAGUGGGAGUAUGACAGCUCAUCCGGCUACUAUUACAAUCAAAGUAAUGGAUGUCAUUAUGAUCCUAACUCCGGCUUCUAUUAUACAGACGUUUUAGGUAGGUGGGUAACACAGGAAGAGGCACUUGCUGCAACUCAAGUUUCUUCGACAUCCGUUUCAAAGAUACCUUUAGCGAAAGCACCUGUAUCAACAAUGGGUGCUGGAUCUUCAGAAAAUAAAAGCGCAGAAGCUGCUCAAAGUGGUCCUCCACCAGGGCGUGUUGUUUCAACCCCUCAAAAUCCCACGAGAUCUGUUAAAGGUAAACCUUCUUCACUGAUGGUUAACAAAAGAAAAAGGGAGAAUGAGAAGCCGAAAGCUGUCACUGAGGAGGAAUCAGCAGCACGCAAGGCCAGGGAGGCUGCAAGGAAGAGAGUUGAAGAGAGAGAGAAAUCACUGCUUGGUCUGUAUAAGCAUUGAUUUGUGUAUGCGUUAUUAAAUACUUUCUUGCUCAAAGGAGUUGGAAUCUUCUGAUAUGCUAAUCAUUAGGGAAGUUCUCAACAUCGCUAUCCAAUUCCCUAAGAAUUACGUCUUGCUGGUGUAGUAAACUGAAUAUUUGAUGAGGUGAGUCCACAGAAAUGUGCUGAAGAUUGUUCAGUGGCAUUUACAACAUUCAAUCGUCCAAAAUUCAUCUUCAUCAUACACAAUGUUAGGGCUGAGUAGGUGAUAUUCUAACUGCUUCUCCAAUUACUUGACUGAUAGUUCAUUAUAUCAAAUCCCUUACACAAGGAGUCUGGGUGAGGUAUUCAGCCUAAUCUAUUCAUUCAUUUCCAGCCAGUUAGUUGCCAUUAGCAUCGGGGAGUUAUAUGAUUGUAGUAUCAUGUGCGGUUUCUGCCAAGUAAAACAUUUGAACUUGCCCGCUGCUUUAUAACAGUAAAUGUGUGUCUUUAUGGCCCAAAGUUGUAAGAGUGUACUGCAAAUGAAGAUAUUUGGUUCAAGAACGAAACCGAUUUCUUAUUAUUUACGUUCUGUUAUAAGAUGCCUUGUUGACUUUCAA